UGAUGGCAGACAUGGCCUCUGGGUCCAACAACAAGAUGGAACGAGGGGCCCCUCCUCAUCCCACCCAACCUUCUGCCCUGGGCCACUAAAGGCUGUCAGGGUAACUGGCUCAUCUCCAGUUAGGAAGAAUUUCCAUGACCACUAAUGGGUAGUUAGGGACAGCAUCCCAGUUUAAAUAAAGGCUUUGAAGGGCCUGGAAAGCUGCAGAUACUUAGCGGUACUCUGUACAAGGCUGUGGAUUGGAUCGCGGCUUCAAGCAGAGUCUGGCGAAGGGGAGCUGCCACGGAGACACCACCAGAGGGGGAAUGUGAAUCUUUUACCCAUCUAUUUAGGACUCCCGAAGACAGAGACGAGCCUUCUGUUCCUAGUGAUCACCGGCCCCCAGAUGAAGCCAGCCUCAGGAUAAUAAACCAGAAUGCUGCUCUGCUCCUAUUCAAUCUCCAGCUAGCUGCUGCACGUGAAGACAACAGCGUUGGCAGAGGCAGUGAUGCCCUUGUCUUCUCCAGAGACUACAGUGGUGAUGCUGUUGUUCCUUUGUCCAUGUCUAGAAAUGACAAUCCAGCGGGGAGAUGAAGAAGUAAACAGUUUCUAGGAGGAUAUGAUCACAGGGUGCUCAGCAAGCACAUGGUGGUGUCACAUAACUCAUCUUUGGGGAACCAGGGAACUUGGGCUACAGUUUUGCAAAGGAACUCUGAAACCAACUUCUGCAAUGAAGUGAAUCUGCCCAAGGGAUAUUUUUUACCCUGAAAAAACACGAACUCCCCUAAGAACCGAAGAGCUGGUUUUUUGCAGAACUAUCUUAUUGUUAUUUGGGACUGAUGGACUGUCAGUCUUUUCUGCCAGAAACAGAAAUGCUAAUUGGGCCAUCAGUAUGUUGGGAUGGAGGACUCGCACUUCUAUGCUUGGCUUAGGCCCAGGUGGACAAUGGUUUUGCUGAAUCUUGUUUUCGUAGGUCCUUCUGGAGAUGCAGCCGGUAAGAAAUGUUGGCAAUCGAGAGAAUAUUGCUUUAACCAAGUUCAUUGUAGUACAUUUUUCACCAAAUUACAUUAGCAUAUAU